rnacentral:rRNA from 1 species
UACGUAGGGGGCUAGCGUUGUCCGGAAUCAUUGGGCGUAAAGAGCGUGUAGGCGGUCCGGUAAGUCCGCCGUGAAAGUCGGGGGCUCAACCCUCGAAUGCCGGUGGAUACUGUCGGGCUAGAGUGCGGAAGAGGCGAGUGGAAUUCCUGGUGUAGCGGUGAAAUGCGCAGAUAUCAGGAGGAACACCAGUGGCGAAGGCGACUACCUGGCCUGUUUCUUGACGCUGAGGCGCGAAAGCUAGGGGAGCAAACGGG